rnacentral:rRNA from 1 species
GAUGAACGCUGGCGGCGUGCCUAAUACAUGCAAGUCGAGCGAACAGACGAGGAGCUUGCUCCUCUGACGUUAGCGGCGGACGGGUGAGUAACACGUGGAUAACCUACCUAUAAGACUGGGAUAACUUCGGGAAACCGGAGCUAAUACCGGAUAAUAUAUUGAACCGCAUGGUUCAAUAGUGAAAGACGGUUUUGCUGUCACUUAUAGAUGGAUCCGCGCCGCAUUAGCUAGUUGGUAAGGUAACGGCUUACCAAGGCAACGAUGCGUAGCCGACCUGAGAGGGUGGACCGCCCCCCCUGAACUUGGACCCGGUCCCAACCCCCUCGGGGGGGCCCCAUUGGGAAUUCUCCCGCAAGGGGCGAAACCCUGACGGACCACCGCCGCGUGGGUGAGAAAGGCUUCCGGUCCGAAAAACCUUUUUUUUAGGGAAGAAAAAAUUGGUAAUUAACUAGGCCCUUUUUGACGGUCCCUAAACAAAACGCCCCGCCUACCUCCGU